rnacentral:rRNA from 1 species
AUUGAACGCUGGCGGCAGGCCUAACACAUGCAAGUCGAGCGGAUGAAGGGAGCUUGCUCCUGGAUUCAGCGGCGGACGGGUGAGUAAUGCCUAGGAAUCUGCCUGGUAGUGGGGGAUAACGUCCGGAAACGGGCGCUAAUACCGCAUACGUCCUGAGGGAGAAAGUGGGGGAUCUUCGGACCUCACGCUAUCAGAUGAGCCUAGGUCGGAUUAGCUAGUUGGUGGGGUAAAGGCCUACCAAGGCGACGAUCCGUAACUGGUCUGAGAGGAUGAUCAGUCAAACGGGAGUGGGGCAACGUUCCGACUCCGAAGGGGGGCAGGCGUGGGGGAGAGUUGACAAUGGGCGAAAGCCUGAUCCAGCCAUGCCGCGUGUGUGAAGAAGGUCUUCGGAUUGUAAAGCACUUUAGGUUGGGAGGAAGGGCAGUAAGUUAAUACCUUGCUGUUUUGACGUUACCAACAGAAUAAGCACCGGCUAACUUCGUG